GCCUCCGACUCCCACCCCCUAAAGCCGACCUUCAUCUUAACUCCUCCCUGACCUGGGUGGCUACUGAAGAGGCGCAUUCCUCACUCUUGUUCCUGGGCCUCAAGGAAGAGGAGAAAAGGUGCACUAGAUAAUGCCCCAACUGAGCAGCUCUGCAGAGGCAGUCACUGAUACAACCAUUUUCAUUUCCUGAUUGGACUCCUGGGAAAAACUCAACUGAUGACCAAGAAAAGAGCCAAGCAGGUGGAAAUCCAUGAGGCCCUUAACAUCAAUCUGGAGACCAGUGCAAGAAAGAUUCUCAAGGUUCUUACCCCCAGGAUCAUGUGACCUUGAACAAGUUAUUUAAUUUUUCUGAGCCUUAGUUUGCACAGUAGAAAUAAAAAAAAUAUCUAUUUCUUGGGUA